rnacentral:rRNA from 1 species
GCUAACCCUAGCCCCAAAUUACCCUGACCCUACUAUCAAAUAACAUCAACCAAACCAUUUACCCGUACAAAGUAUAGGCGAUAGAAAUUACUAACCUGGCGCAAUAGACACAGUACCGCAAGGGAAAGAUGAAAAAACAUAACCAAGCACAAAACAGCAAAGAUGAGCCCCUGUACCUUCUGCAUAAUGAAUUAACUAGACACAGCUUAGCAAGGAGACCCAAAGCUAAAAACCCCGAAACCAGACGAGCUACCUAAGAACCGCUGAAAGAGCACACCCGUCUAUGUAGCAAAAUAGUGGGAAGAUUCAUAGGUAGAGGUGACAAGCCUACCGAGCCUGGCGAUAGCUGGUUGUCCAAGAUAGAAUCUUAGUUCAACUUUAAAUUUACCCAUAGAAUUCCUAAAUCUUCUUGUAAAUUUAACUGUUAGUCUAAAGAGGAACAGCUCUUUAGACACUAGGAAAAAACCUUGUAAAGAGAGUAAAAAGUGUAAACCCCAUAGUUGGCCUAAAAGCAGCCACCAAUUAAGAAAGCGUUCAAGCUCAACACCAUCCACCCAAUAAAUCCCAAACACACAACUGAACUCCUUCCACCACAUUGGACCAAUCUAUCACUCUAUAGAAGAAAUAAUGUUAAUAUAAGUAACAUGAAAAAAACAUUCUCCUCCGCAUAAACCUAUGUCAGACCAAAAAACUUCACUGACAGUUAACAGCCCAAUAUCUAAAACCAACUGAUAAACCAUUAUUAUCCCCACUGUCAACCCAACAUAGGCAUGCCCACAAGGAAAGGUUAAAAAAAGUAAAAGGAACUCGGCAAACACUACCCCGCCUGUUUACCAAAAACAUCACCUCUAGCAUUACCAGUAUUAGAGGCACCGCCUGCCCAGUGACACAUGUUCAACGGCCGCGGUACCCUAACCGUGCAAAGGUAGCAUAAUCACUUGUUCCUUAAAUGGGGACUUGUAUGAAUGGCCCCACGAGGGUUCAGCUGUCUCUUACUUUCAACCAGUGAAAUUGACCUGUCCGUGAAGAGGCGGACAUAACCUAACAAGACGAGAAGACCCUAUGGAGCUUUAGUCUAUCAAUGCAAACAACAUUCAACAAACCAACAGGCUACAAACUACCAAACCUGCAUCGAAGACUUCGGUUGGGGCGACCUCGGAGCACAAACUAACCUCCGAGCAGUAUGUGCCAAGACCACACCAGUCAAAACGAAAUUCCAUGUGCAAUUGACCCAAUAAUUUGAUCAACGGAACAAGUUACCCUAGGGAUAACAGCGCAAUCCUAUUCUAGAGUCCAUAUCAACAAUAGGGUUUACGACCUCGAUGUUGGAUCAGGACAUCCCGAUGGUGCAGCCGCUAUCAAAGGUUCGUUUGUUCAACGAUUAAAGUCCUACGUGAUCUGAGUUCAGACCGGAGUAAUCCAGGUCGGUUUCUAUCUGUUCUACAUUUCUCCCUGUACGAAAGGACAAGAGAAAUAGGGCCCACUUCACAAAGCGCCCUCCCCCCUUAGAUGAUAUUAUCUCAAUCUACAACAUACCCAAACCCGCUCAAGAACAGAGCCU